AAGGUUUAAUUAUUUAUGGCAAGGAUUAAUUAAUAUGUUAAUUAAUCAAACGAAUAAGUUCGUUAAAGACCUUGGGAUAGUUUUGGACCUUAAGGCCCAAUGGGCUUCGAACGUCAAGCCCAUUGAUUUAAGUUGUAUGACAAUUUUAUGAAUAAAGAUUCACAAAGGCCCAAAAGCCCAAAUCCCUUAUAUGGCCGGCCAUGUGUGUUGAAUUAGGGUUUUUGGUUCUUUAGGUCAUUUAAAGAAGUGACUAUAUAAAGAACUUUAUAGCCUAAAAUUCAUUAAGGGUUUCUUUUAGAGAAAAUUGGUGAGAACUUGUCUCUCCUUUUCUCUCUAGGAGGCCGGCCCCCUUGGAGGGUGGAUCUAGCAAUCCCACUACUCCAAGGUCACUCAUUCCUUUUCCAAUCUCUCCUUGGUGUGGAGACUUAGAGGUUCUCAAUUUUGGGAACUUGGAGAAACCUUUUCAUCCAUCCAAAUCCAUAGAUUUUAGAUGCAAGGAAUGAUGGCCCUCUCUUUGGGUGAUUAGCCUUUGCUUAUGCAAAGAGGAAUCUACAAAGGUAUAAAUCUCAACUCACUUUGUUUUGAGUUGAUUCUUGGUUCACCAAUCUAAUAGGCUUUGAAUUUCAAGGGUAAUGUUUUGUUUUUGAGUGCAUGCAAGCAUGAUUCCGCCUUUAAUUGUUAAUUGCAUGCUAUAUGAUGUU
rnacentral:lncRNA from 1 species